AUACGGAGGAUGCGAGCGUUAUCCGGAUUUAUUGGGUUUAAAGGGAGCGUAGGUGGGAUAUUAAGUCAGCUGUGAAAGUUUGGGGCUCAACCUUAAAAUUGCAGUUGAUACUGGUUUCCUUGAGUACGGUACAGGUGGGCGGAAUUCGUGGUGUAGCGGUGAAAUGCUUAGAUAUCACGAAGAACUCCGAUCGCGAAGGCAGCUCACCGGGCCGGAACUGACACUGAUGCUCGAAAGUGCGGGUAUCAAACAGGAUUAGAUACCCUGGUAGUCCGCACAGUAAACGAUGAAUACUCGCUGUUUGCGAUACACGGUAAGCGGCCAAGCGAAAGCGUUAAGUAUUCCACCUGGGGAGUACGCCGGCAACGGUGAAACUCAAAGGAAUUGACGGUG
rnacentral:rRNA from 1 species